rnacentral:lncRNA from 1 species
CCGCCCGUUGUUGCGGGGGGGGCGGCGGUGGGGCGGCGGCGGCGGCGGUUCCGGAGGGGGCGUUGGGGGCGGCCUGCGGGGGGGUCCCGACCGCGGCGACCGCGGCGGCGGCGGCGGAGGCGGCGGCGGCGGCUUCGUGCCCGGGGGGGGGCGGCGAUGGGAAGCGGAAUCCGAAAGCGGAGGAACCCGGGGGGGGCUGCGUUUGGGCCGGAGGAGGCGGCGGAGGCGGAGGAGGCGGCGGAGGCGGCUGCUGCUGCGGGGGCUGCGGUUGAGGAGGCGGCGGAGGCGGCGGAGGAGGCGGCGGAGGAGGCGGCAGCGCGGCGAACGGAUAAGCGGCGGCCGCCAUGGGGCCGAGGAGGGCGGCCGAGGGUUGAGGAGGCCCCGAGAGGCCGAGGGCCGGAGGGGGAAAGCCGGGUUUGGGCGGCGGAGGCGGAGGAGGCGGCGGCGGGUGGAGCUUGCCCAGCGGCGUGGCGUUCGCUCCGGUCGCCAUAGAGCGCUCCGCGCCGCCCGAGGAGGGCUUCGCGAAGCUUCCACGCCGCCGCGCCGCGAAGCGCGCGUCGAUUGGUCGGCCGGCUCGCCCGUCAAAGGGGUGCGGGCGGCGGAUUGGGGGAAGAGGGUGGCUGUCAAGGAGGCGGAGGGCGGGCCUCGAUGAAGGGGCCGAGAGUUUAAAUAACGAGAGCGGCGAUUGCCGGAGCGGAACAUCGAUCAGGGCGGCGCGGAUUACCGGAGAACGAGCACCGGUGAGGGAAGAGGAGCGCAGGGAUUGGCUGGCAGACGCGUCGCUCAGGAGGAGAGCGGCGCGGUUUGGCGGAGAGCGGAGGGAAGGCGACGGAGUAAGCCCCUCCCGGAGCGCGGUUGCGGCGCGGCUGCACCUGGGACUGCGCGGUGAGCUGCAGUUUGAUGGCGCUGGAAUUGAGGCGGGGGGCGCGCAGCAGCUCCUGCAUCCCGCGCAUCUUCUGACUGCGAAACGCCAGCGCCAACCCGGGGGCUCCCGAAGCUCCGCCCCCCGCGGCAGUGGCCCCGCCCCUUUGCUCAGACGCCCCGCCCCCUUGCUCAGAGGACACGCAGCCUUGCGACGAAGCCCCGCCCCCCUGUCCGGAGGCCCCGCCCCCUUGCGCUGAGCCCUCGCUGGCUCCCGAAGCCCCGCCCUCUUGGUCGGAAGCCCCGCCCCCUUGCUGCCCCGAAGCCACGCCCCCCUGCGACUCGGCGGAAGGGGAAGGGGCGGGGCGACGCGCGGGGGGCGGGCGCUUGGCGGGGGGCGGAGCUUCCGGCCGGGAUUCGCGGCGCGGGGGGCGGCGCCGACCCUCACGUGACUCCUCCCCUCCGGCGGCUCCGCCCCCUUCCUCGGCGUCGUCCGCGGGGGCGGGGUCACGUGGCGCCAAUCGGAGCUGCUGGCGCACCUGAGGGGCGGGGCCACGGCGUCAGGGGGCGGGGCCACGUCGAGGGGCGGGGCCAAGGGAAAGGUGGGACCCU